UAAGAUGUCCUGAAGCCCAGGAUAUUUUCGUCUUCCUCGCACGUGUGCCCAGGUACGCUUCCCGCAAGACACAAUGACAGUGGCUUGUGCUGGUUUGCACCAAAAGUCUUUAAUGCAAUUUUAGAUAGGGAGCAAUUUGUUGUGCCAUGUUAGUUUCUUGACAUAAUCCGGGCCAAUUUGGGUUUGAGGCUACGGGCUAUCUGAAAAGCCUGAUACAAUAUUUUCAUACUUGUGUUUAUCAUGUAUUCGUGAACUAUUUGUUUGGUUCAGAAUUUCAGACUACCCAAGUACAAAAUGAAACUUCGUUGCCAAUUUUCAAAUCACAUACUGUAUUCGGAUAUCGUUAGUUUUACUUUCUCAGUUUGAUUAUGUGCAAUACUACUACUUACAUUCACUUAGGAUGGCCUUAAAAUUUUAUAAUAUGAUCAGCUUCGGGAUGAGGCAAUUUGUUUGUUCAAUGGACUUCUGUUGAUGUGUUUCUUUUGCGAGCAUGACAAAGUGGUUAGUGCAGUGGAUGAUCUUCUAUCACUGGUAGUUGAUAAUAAUCUGGGGCACUACUUUGCCGCCACACAAGAUUCUGAUCUUCCUAAUGUGCUAUGUGUGCUUGUGUAUUAUGUGUGGAAUGAUUGUGCUCAAGACUGGACCUGAUGUUUGGUCGCUGUUGUUUUAACUCUUGUGCAUAGGAACUAAAUUAGAGACUUGGGGUUUUAAUGGUGUUGAUGUCAUAAGGAAAAGUAAACAACAGGUGCGCUCAAGAUUGAACUGUCAAGAUCAGAGUAUGAUGCUUCCUCUCUGACUUUCGGUGUUGGCUUCAACCAAAAUUCCUAUUCAGAAGUAGGCAUGUAAGCCUACCUACCUUCUAUCCUCUAAAUAAUUAGAAAAUCUCUUUUGAAGUACGAAUAGGACAAAAUCUCUCUCAGAAUGCAAUCGGACCAGAUAGCUGGUGACAGUUACGCCAAGCUUCUUGCAUAAAGCAGGGCCCUCAUAUUGUAGCUUCAUUGCUCCACAAUGGAUGCAGUCUGGUACUGUUUUCAAAACAUGAUGCUUCUUUGGCAGAUUGUGGUACACGAAGUCAUAAGGAUCAUCAUUCUGUUCACUCUGAGGCACAUCAGUUGUCAAUCGCUGGUAUGCUUCAUUUCUAUGCAACCAAUCGGACUCAUCGUCACCGCCCACCUGAGAUGCAUAGUCCUGAACAUGGGGCGCCAUACCUGUCACAGUUUACCAGAAAGUGAUCAGGUAAACAGUGGUGGAACCGCUGGGAAGAAGUGCAGCUGCGUGCGUCCUGCUGGAGCCUGUCACAUGGCGUCGGCGUGAGGGCGAUAUGGCGGCAGGUUGACGACGGCGACAGGACUGCGUGGUGGAACGCGAGAACGGCGAGAGGAAAGCGUGCUGGACGGCGAGAAUUGCUGCUGGGCGGCAACGGCGAGAGGAAGGCGUGACUGACGGGACGGCGACAACGGCGAGAGGAAGGUGUGGUGGACGGCGAGAACUGCUGCUGGGCGAGAAGUGCUGCGGGGUCUGAGGAACGGUUACGUGAUUUGUGUUCGUGUAUCGAUCGAUGUCCUUUUUUUUUCUAUGGAGCAGAGCAGACGUGGUCUGCUGGUCUGCUCCCAUCAAAGAUGUAAUAGAUCUCAGCUAUUGGAUAGGUCGAUUGAAGGGUUGAGAUUGGUUGGA